CAUAGUUUAAGCUAUAUUAAGCUUAUAGGCUCAUAACCUAUUGAAAUUUCACUAUGA
rnacentral:tRNA from 1 species